GCUCGCUUCAGCUGCACAUAUAUUAAAAUCGAAACAAUACAGAGAAGAUUACCACGUCCUCUUCACAAGAAUGACAUGCAAAUUCAUGAAGCAUUCAAUAUUUUA
rfam:Otolemur garnettii contig135238, whole genome shotgun sequence.